AAAGAAGUAAUACUGCUCUCUUGGAGGAAUCCAGGCCAGAACUAACAAAAGAGGUGGCAUUGGCAGAGUUGCAGCUUUGUGCUGAGCUCCAACUGCGCUUUGGCUUCACUGUGGAUGAAGCGGAACAACGGCUAAAAAAGGCGGCACAAGUUUUCUCAGAGAAGGAAGGAAGGGAAACUUCAUUUUUAGAGCUCUCGAAGCACUUGCAAGGUUCGUCAGAGCACUCACUGAUCAUUGAGGCUGCUCUACCGACAGAAAUAAAAAUUGCUGUACCACAUGUAUACGUAUACAAGGACCAAGCUUGGGUAUAUGGAGGCAGCAAGGAAGAAAUAAUUCACCUGAAGGAACUGAACAUUGAGCGUGCCGUCGUCAUAUGCUUUCUCAUAUACUAUCUGAAAAACCUCAUGUACCCGUCUGCUUUUUCGCAGACCCUGAAUAUGGUUCAAAAACUUUUAAGACCUCAAGAACCUAUCCCA
rnacentral:lncRNA from 1 species